rnacentral:rRNA from 1 species
CAGCAGCCACGGGAAAACGUAGGGUGCAAGCGUUAAUCGGAAUUACUGGGCGUAGAGCGUGCGUAGGUGGUGGUUUAAGUCCGUUGUGAAAGCCCUGGGCUCAACCUGGGAAUUGCAGUGGAUACUGGAUCACUAGAGUGUGGUAGAGGAUAGUGGAAUUUCCGGUGUAGCAGUGAAAUGCGUAGAGAUCGGAAGGAACAUCUGUGGCGAAGGCGACUAUCUGGGCCAACACUGACGCUGAGGCACGAAAGCGUGGGGAGCAAACAGGAUUAGAUACCCGCGUAGUCCCUGUCUCUUAUAC